AGACACAGACAGACAGAGAGGGGAUGACACGGGGGAACGGCGAUACGGCAGUGGUUGAAACAAAGCGGUAUGUUUUGACUGGCACUAACGGUCGAGGAGUGAAGAUCAGUUGAGCGUUUCUGUGACUCCGCCCAGCGGCUGCUCUUCUGAGAGGCACCGCUCUGACAACUCUGUCUACUGGGAAACGCGGCUUUGCAUUUGAACCCCUAUGACUGGUUGCGGACUUGAAGGGAACGCCUUCCUGACAUCCAGGAAAAUUUUUUAUUGAACAGUAGAGAUCUACUGGAAACAGUGGAGAGGGAGGAGAUGAUAUGCAGCAAAAGGCCGAGCCGUAUGGUUGCUGCUCCAUGUGUAACGUGUUCUAUCAGGUGUAACAUCUACCAAUGGUUGUACAUGACAGAGACCUCCUCCACCUCUUUGCUCUCCUACUAGUAAACCCUCCUGAUCAGAGCCUUUCCUAAAUAGUGAAAGGAUCAUGCCAGCCCACAUCAAACACCUGAUCAAGAACUUGUGAAUCUUCAGGCAGAAAAGAUGAAAACACCUGUUCAAAGUUCCAGUUCCCUGUACAUCGAACCAUGCCUGUCCUCUGUUCCACAUGUCUUCAGUCUGUUCUGGACCCCAUGACUCGGACACUAGUUCUACCAAGGCUCAUUAGAGGUAAGCAGUGGUAGAGAGUGUACACUGAUCACACAUUUUUUCCAAAAGGUUGCCGACCCAUGCCCUACACCAAAAAGCAUUGUAGAUUGAAAUUCAGAAACUGGAGGAAAAAUCACUUUAAUGAAGAAAUAUAAAUGAUAGUUUAAUACAAUCUAUUAAAGUAUUACUGAAAAUAAUCCCACUAAAUGUGCUGAAUACAUAAUUCAGGAAUGAUUUUUGCUCCAUCUAACAGAGAAUGAGAAGCAUAACCCAAGAUUAGUGGGAAACGAGGGACACCUGCUGGCAGACAUAUCAAGCUUAUAUAAAUUAAAACAGUAAGGAGCAUGUUUGUUCCUGCUUGAGAGUUGUACAGUUAUAAUGCAUGGCUGUCAUUGAGAAUAUUA